GGCCUAACACAUGCAAGUCGGACGGGAUUUGGGAGCUUGCUCCUAAUGAGAGUGGCGCACGGGUGCGUAACACGUAUGUAACCUACCUUAAUCUGGGGGAUAGCCUCUCGAAAGAGAGAUUAACACCGCAUAACAUUACGACAUAGCAUUUUGUUGUAAUCAAAUAUUUAUAGGAUUAAGAUGGGCAUGCGGAACAUUAGCUAGUUGGUAAGGUAACGGCUUACCAAGGCUACGAUGUUUAGGGGAUCUGAGAGGAUGACCCCCCACACUGGUACUGAGACACGGACCAGACUCCUACGGGAGGCAGCAGUAAGGAAUAUUGGUCAAUGGGCGCAAGCCUGAACCAGCCAUGCCGCGUGCAGGAAGACGGCCCUACGGGUUGUAAACUGCUUUUGUACCGGAAUAAACCCUUUUACGUGUAAGAGGCUGAAUGUACGGUAAGAAUAAGGAUCGGCUAACUCCGUGCCAGCAGCCGCGGUAAUACGGAGGAUCCAAGCGUUAUCCGGAUUUAUUGGGUUUAAAGGGUGCGUACGCGGCCUAUUAAGUCAGGGAUGAAAGACGGUAGCUUAACUAUCGCAGUGCCUUUGAUACUGAUGGGCUUGAAUGUACUUGAGGUAGGCGGAAUGUGACAAGUACCGGUGAAAUGCAUAGAUAUGUCUCACAACACCGAUUGCGAAGGCAGCUUACUAUGGUCUUAUUGACGCUGAGGCACGAAAGCGUGGGGAUCAAACAGGAUUAGAUACCCUGGUAGUCCACGCCCUAAACGAUGAGCACUCGCUGUUGGCGAUACACAGUCAGCGGCUAAGCGAAAGCGUUAAGUGUUCCACCUGCGGAGUACGCCCGCAAGGGUGAAACUCAAAGGAAUUGACGGGG
rnacentral:rRNA from 1 species